ensembl:lncRNA
AACCCACCUGUCUUGGCACUGAGCUGAGCCUACACUGCUGGAGGACAAAUAACAGAGAGAGAGAUGGAGAGAGAGGAGGAGAGAGAGGUGGAGAGAGAGAUGGAGAGAGAGAUGGAGAGAGAGGAGGAGAGAGAUAGAGAGAGAGAUAUGGAGAGAGAGGAGGAGAGAGAGGAGGAGAAAGAGAUGGAGAGAGAGGAGGAGAGAGAUAGAGAGAGAGAUGUAGAGAGAGAGAUGGAGAGAGAGGUGGAGAGAGAGAUGGAGAGAGAGGGAGAGAGAGAAGGAGAGAGAGGAGAGAGAGAGGAGGAGAGCGAGAGAGAGAG